rnacentral:rRNA from 1 species
GGUAGUCCACGCCGUAAACGAUGGAUACUAGCUGUUGGAGGUAUCGACCCCUUCAGUAGCGAAGCUAACGCGUUAAGUAUCCCGCCUGUGGAGUACGGCCGCAAGGCUAAAACAUAAAGGAAUUGACGGGGACCCGCACAAGCGGUGGAUUAUGUUCUUUAAUUCGAUGCUAAACGAAGAACCUUACCAGGGUUUGACAUCCCAAGAAUUUUGUCGAAAGACGAGAGUGCUUUAUUGAACUUGGUGACAGAUGAUGCAUGGCCGUCGUCAGCUCGUGUCGUGAGAUGUUUGGUUAAG